rnacentral:rRNA from 1 species
AGCUCCAAUAGCGUAUAUUUUUGUUGUUGCAGUUAAAAAGCUCGUAGUUGAAUUUCUGGUGGGAGGAUGUGGUGCAACGUAGUUGCUACUGGCAGCCUCCGGCCAUCCUUGGGUUUAGCCAUUCUGGCAUUAAGUUGUCGGGGUGGGGAUGCCCAUCGUUUACUGUGAAAAAAUUAGAGUGUUCAAAGCAGACUUAUGUCGUUGAAUAUAUUAGCAUGGAAUAAUAAGAUAGGACUACAGUGCUAUUUUGUUGGUUUGCGCACCGUGGUAAUGAUGAAUAGGGACAGUUGUGGGUAUUCGUAUUCACUUGUAAGAGGUGAAAUUCUUGGAUUAAGGGAAGACGAACAAAAGCGAAAGCAUUUACCAAGGAUGUUUUCA